rnacentral:lncRNA from 1 species
GCGGUAUUGAAAUAUGCAAUUGCUCUUCUAAAUAAAUAAUGAAUGGGAUCCGCAAGCUCAUAGAUUAAUACCGAUGUAGUAUUUUAACCGGGAAGUAUUCCAGGUAUCGUUAUUUAUAUUUUUACCACUGGGAAGGGAUUAGCAAUCAUCAAUAUUGAUUGCAGAAUAGAAUAUGAGAUUGAGUAUCUAUCAUUGCAUGUAUAAUUGAGAACAUUUAUCUAACUCUUUCAUACAGGGA